UAACGCGAAGAACCUUACCAAGGCUUGACAUGACCAGGACAGCGGCGGAAACGUCGUGUUCCCGCAAGGGACCUGGCCACAGGUGUUGCAUGGCUGUCGUCAGCUCGUGUCGUGAGAUGUUGGGUUAAGUCCCGCAACGAGCGCAACCCUUGUUCUGUGUUGCCAGCAUGCCCUUCGGGGUGAUGGGGACUCACAGGAGACCGCCGGGGUCAACUCGGAGGAAGGUGGGGACGACGUCAAGUCAUCAUGCCCCUUAUGUCUUGGGCUGCACACGUGCUACAAUGGCAGGUACAAAGAGCUGCGAAGCCGCGAGGCGGAGCGAAUCUCAAAAAGCCUGUCUCAGUUCGGAUUGGGGUCUGCAACUCGACCCCAUGAAGUCGGAGUUGCUAGUAACCGCAGGUCAGCAUUACUGCGGUGAAUAUGUUCCCGGGUCUUGUACACACCGA
rnacentral:rRNA from 1 species